rnacentral:tRNA from 1 species
CGAAGUAUAGCAUAUAAAAUGCUUUUUACUUACACUAAAAAUAAAACUUUUAAGUUUGCUUCGC